rnacentral:rRNA from 1 species
CAGAACGGUGAUACCGCCCUGAAUAUGCGCGGUGUCGUCUGAUCUUGGAAGCUAAGCAGGGUCGGGCCUGGUUAGUACUUGAAUGGGAGAAAAUGGAAAGAUACACUGUUCCUG